rnacentral:lncRNA from 1 species
AAUGGAAAAAUAGAAGCCUAUUUCCACAAAAUAUUGUUAAAUAGUUUAAUUGCUCUGGACUGCCUUCGUUCUUUUUUUUUUGUAUGAAGUGUGUGUGUGUGUGUGUGUGUGUGUGAACAGGAAAAGAGAGAAGACAGGGAAGAUGCUAUUUGCUUAAGCAACCGUGAGCACUCUGCUAUUCCCACAAAACAACAUGCUGAUUUCCUGGAUCAGAAAAUAGAACUCCCUGGAAAGACUUCUCCCAACUAUAAAUGUCAGCUGUUCUGAGAAAUCACCUCUGGACCCCUCAAAAUUUUUGCUAAUAAAGCACUUACAGUUAAAGAGGAAAUAACUACCAACUUUACUAAUCCAUGAAAGAACAGGUUUCUGACCUGAUGGUGAAACCGGACGGAGAAGGGCAGCAGCAGGGGAGUGAAGAGUGUGUUACCUACAAGAAAGAAGGGGAGAUGGGUCCAGGGUCUUCCCUCAGCACAAAUCCCAGGCAGGAGCUGGAGACGCACACACAGGGAAACAGGUGGAAAGGGCCCUGCAGGGGCUGUCUGUGCGGGGCCGGGCGCGGAUGCAGAAAGCUGUCCGUGUGCCCCUGCCCCAGCCUCGGGGCCCCUUGCUCUUUGGCCUUCAGCCUAGAACUGGGUUCUGAGUGGGGACCAGGCACCAGGAGGACCAACUGGCCAGGGAGAUGUAAAAUUUAGAUUUCCAAAGAAAAGGCUUUCCUGCUCAUUAAAUAAGAUUGUUAAUGUCGGGCGCCUGGGUGGUUCAGUUGGUUAAGCAUCUGCGUACGGUUCAGGUCAUGAUCUCAGGGUUCUGGGAUUGAGCCCUGGAUGAACCGAAAGUUUUUACUCUUUAUAAUCAAAAAUUUACACAUUUUGGGCUCUCUGCGAGGAUUCUGCUUCUACCUCUCCCUCUGCCCCUCCUCCUUGCUGGUGCUUUUUCUCUAGAAUAAAUUAAACCUUAGAAAAAAUAGAUUGGCA